CAUUAGUUUAGUGGUAAAAUAUCUGUCUUCCAAGUAGAUGUCCCUAGUUCGAUUCCCGGAUG
rnacentral:tRNA from 1 species